ACCGUAAUUCCGCUGCAGUUUUCUUUUCUUUUGAAAGGAUUCCACUUCUAUUACAGAGAGCAAAAACCGCUCCGCUUUCUUAUCAAGCUCAUCAAGCACUUUAAAAUUGAAGUCUUCUUUUUUGUAUGUUCCACUUGUCUGCCUAGCCCAGCCAUGUAAAAGUUGCCGGAGGUGGCAAAUUUUGUUGCUCCAACGCUCCAUUGGUGUUCUUGGCAUGCUAAUCCAUUACUUUGCCACCAUUUAAAAAAAAAACAUCCCUCCCCAGCCAUCCAAAUUCAAAUCUGAACAUAGGAAGGUUUGUUGGAUGUGAGGUAGUGUCAAGUGCGUUGACGCCGAGGAUAGCCGGACCGUGGCUACGGAGUUUGUAGCUAGGAUCAGGAGCGGUGGCUGGUUCUUCCCUGCACGCUCAAUGGUGAACAGAGGGAGGUUAGGGAAGGAGGGAGAUUAGGAAUUUUGAUCUCAAAUUGCUUGUCUUCAAAAGUUGCUGAUUACAUGCCUCAUAGGCACUUGGCCUCUAAUACAAGGAAAUGACAUUUAUUUCCUCCUAA